rnacentral:lncRNA from 1 species
AGUGCCAGCCGGGCAGUGGCCUGGAGACCACGGGGCAGAGCCGGAGCGCCAUGCUCCUCUCUGCGUGGCUGUGCUGCGUGUGGACGAGUCCUCAGAAAGAGAAAAACUGCUCUCCUGAGGGUGGCACCCUGGCAUAUGGAAGUUCCUGGGGGGCCAGGGACUGAAUCCAAGCGGGGCGGCAACGUUAGAUCCUUUAACCCGCUGCACCAGGCCUGGAAUGGAACCCACGCUUCACCAGCAACCUGAGCCGCUGCAGUGGGGUUCUCAACCCACUGUGCCCUAGUGGGAACUCCACGCCUCCUCAUUUUAGAAUUAAGAGGUCCACUGUUCUGUUUUUCGAGUGUAUUCUUGAAUGAAAUCUUUGAAAACAGGUCAUAGGGAUCGCUUCGAUUCCUGGAUGAGUUCAAGCAAUCACUUGUCUCCGAUUCUGAUGUUCAGAACAGGUGGUCCAGGUGGGGACAUUCGCCUGAAGCCACACCUGCAGAACCGGAAUGGCGUGCAGACUGGACGCUCCGGGAGGCAGAGAGUUUGGGGCUCCUCCAGGCCUGGUCUCAGUGCUCACACAGUCAGUGCCCAGGCCCGCGAAGAUGCGCCAGGACUGUAUGCCUUAGUAGAGUGAAGGGCUGCUUGUCUGAAGUUUCCACUGAACAGGAGGGCACCCUAAUCUGGAGGUGGGCAUCAAUGCUUUUUUUUUCCUAAGUUAUGUCUCCAAACCGGGUGGCUACUUUGGCGAGACCCCAAACACCCAACGACCAGCCAAACCAAACCCCCAGACACCCUUCAAGCUUCCCCAUCGACGUCUGGGAGCCACAGCAGAGCGUGUCCCCGCUCUGAGGGGCAGCCUUAAACUUCCGAAGCUGACUGGCCGCGGCCCUGACCCGCUCCUUCCCUCUGAAACGCAGGCCCGCGUCUCCCGCUGGCCUCCCUCCCUUUGGGGGUGGUUUCUUGCCGCCGCCUCCGUGGGGGUUUGUGUGUAGCACGGUGGCAUCAAGAAAAAAGCGAACACUUACGUGGUGCUUGCUGCCCUUUGAGACAGUUCUUCUUUGACGAAGGCCUUGCCCCUGUGUGGCCAGAAUCCCAGCCGGCCUGACUUGGGAUUAACGGUGUCCAUUCGUGGAGGAAGGUGGGGGGCAGGUGCGUCAGAGCACGUGCUGCCCGUCAGACGGCUCAGCUGAUGACCCUGUACCGGAAAAGGACUCGGCUGGCAUGGCCCCUCGCGGGGACAGGUGCUCAGGCACAGAGUGGGUCCCUUCGGCAAAGGAUGACGCCCGGGCAUAAAUAUGUAUGUUUUGAGGAAGGAGUGACAGUGGAGACAGGACAAAGGACCGCAGCCAGGGCCCCCUCCCCAAGGCCUAUAAUGACACCAGGAGCCAGAGCUUCCUUGAGGAAAGCUGGUCCUGCUCACUUUUCGAGGUGAAACUGCACCUGAAGCCACGUUCCUGCGACGGGAACACUGCGGGCUCCUUCUGGCAGCAUCAUCAACACGACGUCUUUAUGCUGACUGCAUCCUCUGUCCAGAGACGUCGGAAAAAACAGGAUGAGCCCCGUGGGUCUAAAGAGGACGCUCCACUUCCUUUCUCAAAACCUUCCGCCGUGUCCUCCCACCUUUGGUCUUGAAUUCUAGAAGAUGGAUCUGCUGGCCCCGGACCCAAGAAGACAGUGCGCCACGGGUCUUUUCCACAGCAGCUCCGUCUCACGAAACACAGGUGCUUUUUACCGGAUCUUUCCUGCGGCAUUUAAAAAAAUCUGCCCUGCACUUUGCCACAUUGAGUUUUUCCAUCCCCAAGGCACCGCUGCGAGCUGGUGGGAGGGGAAAGCGUUAAGUUCUCUUAGGCCUGCGGAGAGGAGAGGUCGACAGGUCCUGAAUCACACAGGGACUCAGAAUACCUGCCUGGGCGGUUUCUGAGUCAGUUUGAGGGCUGGCUGUUUAUACAGCAGGAGGUAUUUCUUCAUUUGGGGAGCUUCAUUUGGGGGGGGGGGCUCACUGAGUGUUUACUCCCUGCUCCCAAGCCAACAAAGUGAAAACAAAAAUAUAUUCAGCAAAGUGUGUAGA